rnacentral:rRNA from 1 species
GAUCCUGGCUCAGAUUGAACGCUGGCGGCAGGCCUAACACAUGCAAGUCGAGGGGCAGCAUAAUGGAUAGCAAUAUCUAUGGUGGCGACCGGCGCACGGGUGCGUAACGCGUAUGCAACCUACCUUUAACAGGGGGAUAACACUGAGAAAUUGGUACUAAUACCCCAUAAUAUCAUAGAAGGCAUCUUUUAUGGUUGAAAAUUCCGAUGGUUAGAGAUGGGCAUGCGUUGUA